CACACCCAGAGGUGCUGAAGAAGGGACAGAUGUAGACAGCAUUAGUAGUCUCCAUAAAACUAUUCGAGACUGCGAAAGAUUGUUGCAGGAAGGACGCGUGACACCAAUGGGCUUCACGCACAGGACAUUCGACUUCUGUCGCUCAAUGAUGGAAGAUGAAAUAAGUGAUGGUGAAUGGGAUUUUUCAUGGAAUAUGAUAAAUGGUGCGAUCACUUAUAGAAAUAACAAGUUAAUGGAAGCACGUGCACCUGAGGCGCAGCGUCCACUGGUUCCUCAGCCUCG